GACGAACGCUGGCGGCGUGCUUAACACAUGCAAGUCGGGCGGAAAGGCCCUGCUUUUGUGGGGUGCUCGAGUGGCGAACGGGUGAGUAACACGUGAGUAACCUGCCCUUGACUUUGGGAUAACUUCAGGAAACUGGGGCUAAUACCGGAUAGGAGCUCCUGCUGCAUGGUGGGGGUUGGAAAGUUUCGGCGGUUGGGGAUGGACUCGCGGCUUAUCAGCUUGUUGGUGGGGUAGUGGCUUACCAAGGCUUUGACGGGUAGCCGGCCUGAGAGGGUGACCGGCCACAUUGGGACUGAGAUACGGCCCAGACUCCUACGGGAGGCAGCAGUGGGGAAUAUUGCACAAUGGGCGGAAGCCUGAUGCAGCAACGCCGCGUGCGGGAUGACGGCCUUCGGGUUGUAAACCGCUUUCGCCUGUGACGAAGCGUGAGUGACGGUAAUGGGUAAAGAAGCACCGGCUAACUACGUG
rnacentral:rRNA from 1 species